rnacentral:rRNA from 1 species
GUAGGUGGCAAGCGUUGUCCGGAAUUAUUGGGCGUAAAGCGCGCGCAGGCGGUUCUUUAAGUCUGAUGUGAAAGCCCACGGCUCAACCGUGGAGGGUCAUUGGAAACUGGAGAACUUGAGUACAGAAGAGGAAAGCGGAAUUCCACGUGUAGCGGUGAAAUGCGUAGAGAUGUGGAGGAACACCAGCGGCGAAGGCGGCUUUCUGGUCUGUAACUGACGCUGAGGCGCGAAAGCGUGGGGGAGCAAACAGGAUUAGAUACCCUGGUAGUCCACGCCGUAAACGAUGAAUGCUAAGUGUUAGGGGGUUUCCGCCCCUUAGUGCUGCAGCUAACGCAUUAAGCACUCCGCCUGGGAGUACGGCCGCAAGGCUG